rnacentral:tRNA from 1 species
GAGGGAAUAGCUCAAAUGGUAGAGCUCAUGCUUCGCAUGUAUGAGGUCCUGGGUUCAACUGCCAGUACUCCUCU